rnacentral:rRNA from 1 species
UACGGGGGGAGCAAGCGUUGUUCGGAUUUACUGGGCGUAAAGCGCGUGUAGGUGGUGGGACAAGUCUGCUGUGAAAGCGCCUGGCUUAACCGGGCGAGGUCGGCGGAAACUGUCCGACUCGAGGACGGUAGAGGGGGGUGGAAUUCCCGGUGUAGUGGUGAAAUGCGUAGAGAUCGGGAGGAACACCUGUGGCGAAGGCGGCCCCCUGGGCCGGCCCUGACACUGAGACGCGAAGGCGUGGGGAGCGAACGGG